rnacentral:rRNA from 1 species
UUGAACGCUGGCGGCAUGCCUUACACAUGCAAGUCGAACGGUAACGGGCCUUCGGGUGCCGCCGAGUGGCGAACGGGUGAGUAAUACAUCGGAACGUGCCCGAUCGUGGGGGAUAACGAGGCGAAAGCUUUGCUAAUACCGCAUACGAUCUACGGAUGAAAGCAGGGGACCGCAAGGCCUUGCGCGGACGGAGCGGCCGAUGGCAGAUUAGGUAGUUGGUGGGAUAAAAGCUUACCAAGCCGACGAUCUGUAGCUGGUCUGAGAGGAUGAUCAGCCACACUGGGACUGAGACACGGCCCAGACUCCUACGGGAGGCAGCAGUGGGGAAUUUUGGACAAUGGGCGCAAGCCUGAUUCAGCCAUGCCGCGUGCAGGAUGAAGGCCUUCGGGUUGUAAACUGCUUUUGUACGGAACGAAAAGCCUUCUUUUAAUACAGGAGGGUCAUGACGGUACCGUAAGAAUAAGCACCGGCUAACUACGUG